UACGUAGGGCGCAAGCGUUGUCCGGAAUUACUGGGCGUAAAGGGCGCGCAGGCGGCCGUGUAAGUCCGCUGUGAAAGACCGGGGCUCAACCCCGGGGUGUCAGCGGGGACUGCACGGCUGGAGUCCCGGAGAGGGAGGCGGAAUACCUGGUGUAGCGGUGGAAUGCGUAGAGAUCAGGUGGAACACCGAUGGCGAAGGCAGCCUCCUGGACGGGUACUGACGCUGAGGCGCGAAAGCGUGGGGAGCGAACGGG
rnacentral:rRNA from 1 species